ACUCAACAGCAGAGCCUGCCCUGCCGGGAAGUGUUAGCUGGUCUCCAAGGUAACAGACUGCACCACUGCCACCUGAGGCAGGGACAGGGGAAUACCUCCCUCACCCCACUUCAUCUUAAUAACUGACUUUCCCCAGGCACUCUGCUUUUCUCCACUCCUACAAAAGCCUGGAAGCAAUAUUUGGGCUUCUAUUUCUAGAAUCUUUGGGUUGGCAGGAAACUGUGGUUUAGACCAGGAGAGCCCUGGUACGUGCUGCCUUACCGUGGUAGGAACUGAAGACAGGUAGCAGAGAACCUGCACCGUGCCAGGCGUGAAAGCUGGUAACUGCCUCCUCCUUCUCAGAUUCCCUGGGGUCCCCCCAGCACACACCCUGAGAGAGGUCUGGCAUUCCCUCACCUCCACCAGGUCCAGCCCCACUCAAAACUGGCUAAAACAGCAUCAGGCUCAGUGACCUCUUAGCGUCAGAAGAGAUCAUCUACUGCAGUGGUUCCCACACCCAGGUGCCCAUCAGAAUCACCUGGGUUGUUUGCUAAGGAAACAUACAUACAUUCCCAUUUGGGAGACUGAUACAGAACUGUGAGAGAGUGUAGGAACAUGAGUCUUUAACAAUGGUCCCGGUGAUUGUGAUGUAACCAGCCCUUGGCCCAUAGCUGGGGGACCCUCUUCAAGUCCUUUUUUUUACAGAAGUCAAGAGAGAUGAAGUGAUGUAUCCCUGUCAACCAGCUUGUAAGAGGCUAAGAGAUCUCCACUUAGUUUAUCUAGGUAGUUUCUCAAAUGUCUGUACUUCCUGAACCUUUCAUUUGAUAAUGUAGAACAUGUGCUCCUUGCAGUAAUCAUCCUAUGGCAGAGAACCUCUUCUGAUGUUGACACUAGCAGUGGCUCCUAUAGACCCGAUCAGAAACAACAAAAUCCCUCGAAAUAGAAAUUGCUUACCUACCACCAGUCACUGUGGGCAGUAGUCAUGGGUUGACAAUAGUGUGGCAUUCGGAAGGGCAUUUUGUCAAAACCAACAAGGCAGGAGAGGAAGGAGAUCAGAGAGAGGUAAAGUCAGAAAAUGGAAGUCAUAAGAGGCCGAGAGCAACCAACAAAUGGCUACUCUGUGAAUAAGAGGGGAAGGUCCUUGUGCCCUCCCUCUUGGAAAUCCUGGGCAGAAGGGGCUGGCUAGCUUUGAGAUGCCAUUUUGGAAGACAUGAGGGCCGAAGACAGGUAGUUUAACACCUUCACAGUUUCCUUGGCUCCUGGAUACAUAGGUUCUCAACAUUUUGCAAGAAGUAAAACCCAAUACUGAAAUGUCACUGUUCUUGCUUUUUUUCCUCCUGGAGCCUAUACAAUACACAUAUUCUGAAUGUAUUUGUGUCAGAUAGAUAAAGUGGUGUAAGAUUUUCAGGCUGUAUGACCAGGCAGGAGGAAAACUAUGUGUGCAUACCAUCUUUCCUAUCUCUCCUCAGAUGGUAUGUAGCUCAUUUGGGGCCCCUGUAAGGAAUUAGAGCACAAUAGGAAUUUGUGUUUCUUACCUUAGGUUCUUAGAACCUGAUUACAGUCAAACCUCUGAUCUUUAUUUAAGAGCUGUAGCCUGGUCCCUCUGCCCCAAAUAUAUUGAUUGUGGGAUUUCCUAAUUCUCCCAUUAAUUCUAUUUUUGUUUCAUGUACUUUUAAGUUCCAGUAUUACAGAAUACACACUUAGAUUGUUCUUUCUCCUUAAAUGACCAUUUGCCGUGGUCUGAAUUUUUGUGUGUCCCCACCCCUACCCACCAGCCCCUAAAUUCGUAUGUUGGAAACUUACCCCCUAAAGCGAUGGUAUUAGGAGGUGAGAUAGGAGGCAGUUAGGUCAGGAGGGGAGAGCCCUCAUGAAUGGGAUUAGUAUCCUCAUAAAAGAGGAUGGACAGAACUCUGUAGCCCCUUCUGCCUGUGAGAAUACAAGGAGUUCUGCAACCCAGAAGAUGACCUUUACCCGACCAUGCUGGUACCCUGAUCUUGGACUUCCAGCCUCCACAACUAUUUACCUUUAUUUGGUGGAGGAUACCAAUACCUUCAAGAGGAGUAAAAGACUCAGUAAAAGACAGCUCUGAGCCACAGACCUGGAAUGCUUAUGUCACAAUAUAGCAGGAUGUGAUCCAAUGCCAAAAGGAUUGUGCAGCCUCGUGACAAUAGGAAGCUGGAGAUAUACACUCUAUCCACAACACACCAUCCAUGGAAUUUUGAACAAAAAACUUCACUUCUUUAGGAGAACACAAUGUACCUAACUUUAAUAUUCUGUCAUUUGGAGGAUACCAGUCUAUCAACAUUAAUGUAGAGGAAGCAGUUAGUGGUGCCUGUGGAUAUGGUGUGCCCAGCAGAAGCAGUGGUGACCAACAGAUGCCAAGCUGCCUAGUAUAAAUAGCACCAAAGCCUGGAUGGACUCACUGGUACUAUACAAAUGUAAGAUUUUGCACAAAGGCCAACCUCAAAAAUAAUUGGAAGAAGAAAUUUCUACAAGAGGUCCAAAUAACUGCUGAAAAGCUGUUAAGAAUUCAACAGCAUUUUCUGUCCAGAUGAUUUAAUUGUCUAAAGUUCCAAGUCAACUGACUGCCAGACCACAUUUUAGUGAUACAAUGAAAGGAGGGGUAAAAGCUUUAAAAAGGAAAGAAGAAUGAAGAAAAGAGAAUCUUCUCAAACCAUAAGACCUAAUUUAAUAGUCCAGCAGCCUAUCUAUCCAUGGUGACGCUGACAUGAUUAUAAUCAGACAAAUAUCAUAACUUCUGCUACUUACUGCAACUGAUCGGUCACAUAAAAGAAAAUUGCAUUUGUAUAUAUCAUGGGAAAAUGACAACAAACAGAACUACUGAAGAGUUUCUGGAAUGUGUAUAAAAGAACAGGUUCACACAAAAGGAGGAUAAGAAAACAGUGACAGUGAAGUUAAGGGAUUUGUACAAACCAAAAGACAUCACUUUAAGAUUAAAAACAAAUCUCCUUCUUUCCUUCUUCUGAAAUCUGGCAAGAACUUCAGCCACUUAAGAAUUUUUAUCUCUGGUAAGUAAAUAAAAA